CUCAGGCAGAGAUACCCUCCUGCCCUACCCACUGUCCCCAGCACGCCCUGGCACAAAGGUCAGAUGGCCCUUAGGUGGAGCUGGGAAGGCCUCUGGAAGGGAUCUACCUGCUGCCAGGCAUGGCUUUCUACCGGUGCCCAUCUGGAGGGCACAGGAGGUCAACACCUAGGGAUCUCUCCUUGAGUCCCUUUGAAAGAGUGAUCACAGAAGAUGAUGUCCCCCCUGCCCGCAGAAGCUGCUGUCAGAUUCUCGGGAGGCUGCCAGCUCACGCUGUGGUCUGCAUGAUGCCAAGACACCCAUUGCAGCUGCCCAGAGACCUGCCCCUGGGCCCACCUUUUCUUCCUCUGCCAGCCAAAUUCACAGCAUUUUAAGAGGCCUCAUCCUCCACCUCUCCCCUGGAAAAUGAAGCAAAGACAGAAUGAGAGCAGGAGGCUGAAGGAACAUGAAAACAUCAGAGAGCAAAUGUAUAUGGCCUGCUAGAUGCUACUAGGAGAGAGGUUUUCCCUCUCUGCUUAUCUUGGUGGAAUCUGUUUUCAUAAUAAA
rnacentral:lncRNA from 1 species